rnacentral:rRNA from 1 species
GACAGAGGUGCCAAGCGUUAGGCGGAAUCACUGGGCUUAAAGCGUGUGUAGGCGGAUCGUUAAGUACCUUGUGAAAUCCCACGGCUCAACCGUGGAACUGCUCGGUAUACUGGCGGUCUUGAGCCACCUAGGGGCAACUGGAACCAGCGGUGGAGCGGUGAAAUGCGUAGAUAUCGCUUGGAACGCCAACGGUGAAAACAGGUUGCUGGGGGUGUGCUGACGCUGAGACACGAAAGCCAGGGGAGCGAACGGG